rnacentral:rRNA from 1 species
ACAGACAGCCAGGAUGUUGGCUUAGAAGCAGCCAUCAUUUAAAGAAAGCGUAAUAGCUCACUGGUCGAGUCGGCCUGCGCGGAAGAUGUAACGGGGCUAAACCAUGCACCGAAGCUGCGGCAGCGACACUAUGUGUUGUUGGGUAGGGGAGCGUUCUGUAAGCCGUUGAAGGUGUGCUGUGAGGCAUGCUGGAGGUAUCAGAAGUGCGAAUGCUGACAUAAGUAACGAUAAAGCGGGUGAAAAGCCCGCUCGCCGGAAGACCAAGGGUUCCUGUCCAACGUUAAUCGGGGCAGGGUGAGUCGACCCCUAAGGCGAGGCCGAAAGGCGUAGUCGAUGGGAAACAGGUUAAUAUUCCUGUACUUGGUGUUACUGCGAAGGGGGGACGGAGAAGGCUAUGUUAGCCGGGCGACGGUUGUCCCGGUUUAAGCAUGUAGGCGGAGGUUCCAGGUAAAUCCGGUACCUUUUAACGCUGAGGUGUGAUGACGAGGCACUACGGUGCUGAAGUAACAAAUGCCCUGCUUCCAGGAAAAGCCUCUAAGCAUCAGGUAACAUCAAAUCGUACCCCAAACCGACACAGGUGGUCAGGUAGA